UACGUAGGGUGCAAGCGUUGUCCGGAAUUAUUGGGCGUAAAGGGCUCGUAGGCGGUCUGUUGCGUCGGUAGUGAAAACUCAGGGCUUAACCCUGAGCCUGCUUCCGAUACGGGCAGACUAGAGGUAUGCAGGGGGAGAACGUAAUUCCUGGUGUAGCGGUAGAAAUGCGCAGAUAUCAGGAGGAACACCGGUGGCGAAGGCGGUUCUCUGGGCAUUACCUGACGCUGAGGAGCGAAAGUGUGGGGAGCGAACAGG
rnacentral:rRNA from 1 species